rnacentral:rRNA from 1 species
GAUGAACGCUGGCGGCGUGCCUAAUACAUGCAAGUCGAGCGAACGGACGAGAAGCUUGCUCCACUGAUGAUAGCGGCGGACGGGUGAGUAACACGUGGAUAACCUACCUUUAAGCGUGGGACAACAUUGGGAAACGAGUGCUAAUACCGCAUAAUAACUUUAAACGUAUGGUUCAAAAGUGAAAGAUGCUAUUGCAGCACCCUAAGAUUGGAUCCUCGUUGCUUAAGCUAGUUGUUAAGGUAACGGCCUACAAAGCGAACAAUGCAUGCCCAACUUGAGAGGGUGAUCGACCACAUGGGAACGGGAACACGGUCCAGACUCCUACGGGAGGCAGCGUAAGGGAACCUUCCGCAUUGAGCGAAGGCCUGACGGGGCAACGCGGCGUGAGUGAUGAAGGUCUUCGGAUCGUAAAACUCUGUUAUUAGGGAGAAACAUGUGUGUAAGGAACUGUUCACAUCGUGACGGUACCUAAUCAGAAAGCCACGGCUAACUACGUG